GACGAACGCUGGCGGCGUGCUUAACACAUGCAAGUCGAACGGAAAGGCCCUGCUUUUGUGGGGUGCUCGAGUGGCAAACGGGUGAGUAGCACGUGAGUAACCUGCCCUUGACUUUGGGAUAACUUCAGGAAACUGGGGCUAAUACCGGAUAGGAGCUCCUGCUGCAUGGUGGGGGUUGGAAAGUUUCGGCGGUUGGGGAUGGACUCGCGGCUUAUCAGCUUGUUGGUGGGGUAGUGGCUUACCAAGGCUUUGACGGGUAGCCGGCCUGAGAGGGUGACCGGCCACAUUGGGACUGAGAUACGGCCCAGACUCCUACGGGAGGCAGCAGUGGGGAAUAUUGCACAAUGGGCGGAAGCCUGAUGCAGCAACGCCGCGUGCGGGAUGACGGCCUUCGGGUUGUAAACCGCUUUCGCCUGUGACGAAGCGUGAGUGACGGUAAUGGGUAAAGAAGCACCGGCUAACUACGUG
rnacentral:rRNA from 1 species